GAUGAACGCUAGCUACAGGCUUAACACAUGCAAGUCGAGGGGCAUCAGGGAGAUAGCUUGCUAUCUCCGCUGGCGACCGGCGCACGGGUGCGUAACGCGUAUCCAACCUUCCCCCUGCCAGGGAACAGCCCGUUGAAAGACGGAUUAAUGCCCUAUGUUGUGCGAAGAUGGCAUCAGAUUUGCACGAAAGAUUUUAUCGGCAUGGGAUGGGGAUGCGUAGGAUUAGGUAGUCGGCGGGGUAACGGCCCACCGAGCCUUCGAUCCUUAGGGGUUCUGAGAGGAAGGUCCCCCACACUGGUACUGAGACACGGACCAGACUCC
rnacentral:rRNA from 1 species